AUGGCCCUAGCUGCCUCUUCGGACUGUGACAGACUCACCCAACAGCAGCACCCUGAACAUUCCACAGCCAGUGGAGCACAGGGGGUUAAGGAUUCAGAACCUUUCUCUCCAACAGAGGAGAAAAUAGUGCCACUUCCGGGGCACUUGAAGGACAGAUUGCUGGGGAUGGGACUGCAAUCGGGCCUCGGAGAGGGAGAAGUGAUUGCUGCCCUCAUUAAUAUUACUGCUGGCAAAGGCUGCGUGGGACUCAAUCAGGUGUGUGCCUUAGAGCUGGGAACAGCAAACAAAGCGCUUUGCCAAGUACUGGUGGUCACUACUGAAAGACCAAACAUGAGGAAGUGGUGUGGAAACGCCUGGAUUUAUUAUCAGGUGCACUCCACUGGUGUCUAGUGUUCCAGAACUCAACUCUUGAUUUGUGGGGUCUGCAUAAUUUUGAAUAGUUGGCAUCAAAUUGAAUUUGAUUUUUGGACACUUCUCUGGUGUUACAGAAUUGGAGAAGAGACUUGUAAAUUCUCUCAGUAUUUCAGCAUAAAGAUGCUAUAGAUUCUUAAAUUUUCCUCUUAGUAUGUUUGUGCUUUUGUGACACCACUGUAACUAAUAUGGCUUUUGAAAAAAAAAAUGUGUGUGUGUGUGUGUGUGCUUAUGCAUGCCCAUGUGUACAAGUCAGAGGACAACCUUCAGACCUGUGCACAAGUGUCUCUACCCACUGAGAAAUCUCUUUGGCUCAGUAGUACGUUUAAAAAUUCAUUUCCUUUUCCUUUUUUUGUUUUGUUUUGUUUUUUUGAGAUAGGGUUUCUGUGUGUAGCUGUGGCUGUCCUAGAACUAACUCUAUAGAUCAGGCUGGCCUCAAACUCAUAGAGAUCUUCUUGCCACUGCCUCCCAAGGUCUGGGAUUAAAGGCAUGUGCCACCACGGCCCGGCUUUAAAAUUCAUUUUCUUAUCAUUUAUUGUUGGUACUUGGGAAGAUAAUCAUUGUAUUAUCAAAGUAUAGUUGGAAGCCUUACUAAGUUGACUUACUAUUUAUAGCUGAUUUUUAGGUAUUUGUUUUGUUGUUAGGUUUUUCUUUUUUUUUUUUUUUAGAUUUUACUUUUAUUUGUGUGUGCGCUCAAGUGAGUGCAUACGCGCUCGUGUGCGUGGUUAUGGUUAUGACCCUAAGAAUCAAACCCUGGUCUUCUGUAAGAGCAGCCUGUGGUCCUAAACACAGAGCAAUCUCUCCAGUUCCUGCAGUUUUUUAUACAGUUCUUGGAUUCCAUGUAUAUUUUAAACCAUCAAUGGAUAAGAACCACCUCACUUCUUGCCCAAUAACAAUGGGCUUUAGUCUUAAUUUUAUCUUAUUUGACUUAUAGCGUGAGACUCUCCAGUGCAAUGUUAAGUCACAGUGAUAAUAGACACACCCACCUUGAUCUAAUAAACAAAUAAGAAUUGGGUCA
rnacentral:lncRNA from 1 species